GACGAACGCUGGCGGCGUGCUUAACACAUGCAAGUCGAACGAAAAGAGGGAAAGAGCUUGCUCUUUCCGGAAUUGAGUGGCAAACGGGUGAGUAACACGUAAACAACCUGCCUUCAGGAUGGGGACAACAGACGGAAACGACUGCUAAUACCGAAUAAGUUCCAAGGGCCGCAUGGCCCAUGGAAGAAAAGGUGGCCUCUACCUGUAAGCUAUCGCCUGAAGAGGGGUUUGCGUCUGAUUAGCUGGUUGGAGGGGUAACGGCCCACCAAGGCGACGAUCAGUAGCCGGUCUGAGAGGAUGAACGGCCACACUGGAAUUGAGACACGGUCCAGACUCCUACGGGAGGCAGCAGUGGGGAAGCUUCCGCAAUGGGCGAAAGCCUGACGGAGCAACGCCGCGUGAGUGAUGACGGCCUUCGGGUUGUAAAACUCUGUGAUCCGGGACGAAAAGGCAGAGUGCGAAGAACAAACUGCAUUGACGGUACCGGAAAAGCAAGCCACGGCUAACUACGUG
rnacentral:rRNA from 1 species